rnacentral:lncRNA from 13 species
UCUAUAGUCCAUUAAUCAGUAAAUACUUAAAAAACCAAAAUAUCUGUCUUAGUAAAUACAUAGUUAAAAGCUAACUUGUGAAUAUCUGUGUACUAUUUUCUCUCUCUUUGCUCCUGACCUCAUGUCUCUCCGUGCUCAGCGGGGAAUGCACGGCUGACUACAUCACUGCUUUCAGAGCGCUGUCCUGCGCACUUGUCACAGAACCUCCAGAUAAUGAAAUGUCAGUACAGGAAUUGAAUGUCAGCUGUAGUGCUCAGAAGAAUAAGGUAAGGGGAGUG